UACGUAGGGUGCAAGCGUUGUUCGGAAUUACUGGGCGUAAAGGGCGCGUAGGCGGCCUUCUAAGUCGAACGUGAAAUCCCCGGGCUCAACCCGGGAACUGCGUCCGAUACUGGAAGGCUUGAAUCCGGGAGAGGGAUGUGGAAUUCCAGGUGUAGCGGUGAAAUGCGUAGAUAUCUGGAGGAACACCGGUGGCGAAGGCGACAUCCUGGACCGGUAUUGACGCUGAGGCGCGAAAGCGUGGGGAGCAAACAGG
rnacentral:rRNA from 1 species